CAGAUGCUAGUGUCAGAGGAACAUGCUCCAUAGCAUUGCUUUUGGCAUCUGGAUUAUCCAAUGUCCUCCAAGAUGGAAGAGAAGGAAGAGUGACAAGCUACCUAAUAUGAUAAGUGAUAAGUCAUUCACAAAUAAGGAACCCAACUACAGUAAUCAGAUAGUCAUUCCCAGGUUUAGUAUGGACCUCCAACCUGAGACAGCCCCUGCCUGAAAUCCAACACUUUCCAUUUGGAACCCCAAAAGGCACAGAUGUAGACCACCCUUUUAAUGUUUAUAACCUUAAGCCUGUAGGAUAAGUUCCACUGAUAGGCCAAGCAUAUUUUCCAUACUAAGGAAGAGCUUAGGGUGUGACAAGAAAAUCACCAGUUUAUUCACUCUGACAGGCACCACUACCAAGAAUUCCCUGCAAGAUCAGCAGCCUGCUGUGUUAUGAUCAUAGGACAUCUUCACCACCGCAUAAAUAGCAGAAACAGAUGAAUGCCACUCUACAUUCUGGCCACCAAUCACCAGUUGAAGUUCCCCAGUCUUUCUGCAGUAUGAAUGAGUUUUGAAGAUGGGGAAUGACUCAUCACUUUUAACUGAUAAACCACUUGUUAGCAUAAAAUCAAACUUCUUUUGUUUUUGCAGUUUACCAUAUUUUUAUUAGACAUUUUAGAAGAAAUAUAUAAGCAGGGAAGGAAAAGGACAAAAGAAAGGAUAAAGGACCAGAAUGCAGAUGAAUAAACAAUGCAUUUACAAA